AACGAACGCUGGCGGCAUGCCUAACACAUGCAAGUCGAACGAGACCUUCGGGUCUAGUGGCGCACGGGUGCGUAACGCGGGGGAACCUGCCCUUAGGUUCGGUAUAACUCCCCGAAAGGGGUGCUAAUACCGGAUAAUGUCUUCGGACCAAAGAUUUAUCGCCUUUGGAUGGGCCCGCGUUGGAUUAGCUAGUUGGUAGGGUAAAAGCCUACCAAGGGGACGAUCCAUAGCUGGUCUGAGAGGAUGAUCAGCCACACUGGGACUGAGACACGGCCCAGACUCCUACGGGAGGGAGCAGUGGGGAAUAUUGGACAAUGGGCGAAAGCCUGAUCCAGCAAUGCGGCGUGAGUGAUGAAGGCCUUAGUGUUGUAAAGCUCUUUUACCCGGGAUGAUAAUGACAGUACCGGGAGAAUAAGCUCCGGCUAACUCCGUG
rnacentral:rRNA from 1 species